rnacentral:rRNA from 1 species
GACGAACGCUGGCGGCGUGCCUAAUACAUGCAAGUUGAGCGCUGAAGGUUGGUACUUGUACCUACUGGAUGAGCAGCGAACGGGUGAGUAACGCGUGGGUAAUCUGCCUUUGAGCGGGGGACAACAUUUGGAAACGAAUGCUAAUACCGCAUAAAAACUUUAAACACAAGUUUUAAGUUUGAAAGAUGCAAUUGCAUCACCCAAAGAUGAUCCCGCGUUGUAUUAGCUAGUUGGUGAGGUAAAGGCUCUCCCAGGCGAUGAUACAUAGCCGACCUGAGAGGGGGAACGGCCCCAUUGGGACUGGGACACGGCCCAAACCCCUACGGGAGGCAGCAGUAGGGAAUCUUCGGCAAUGGACGAAAGUCUGACCGAGCAAAGCCGGGUGAGUGGAGAAGGUUUUCGGAUCGUAAAACUCUGUUUGUAGGGAAGAACGAUGGUGGGAGUGGAAAGCUCAUCAAGUGACGGUAACUACCCAGAAAGGCACGGCUAACUACGUG